CUGCUGGGACAGAGAGCAGUAAGUUGUAAUUAGCAGUGAGCUAGAAUCUUUGCUCCUAGCAGAAAAGGGUCUUUAUGCCCUUACAUGCAGGUGGACAGAGCGGGGCAGCUGGAUGGAGCUGGCUGGUUAGCAGGUUCAAAGGAAUAUCCAGUUGUUCAAAUCAAGCCAGGAGGGGUUGACAUCUCCCCACUGCCUGAGAGACGAUAGGUCAGAACGAAUCCUGCUUUUCCAUUCAAGUCCUGAGCUGGUGAACGUGACCCCAUCAAGACCAGCCGGCCAGGAUGGGUCCAGAGGAGAACAUCUGCCUUUGCAUCCACUCUUUUCUGCAUGGGAAGAUCCAGCAGCAGUGGAAGUCCCAACCGAUAAAUCCCCACGAGUGGCAUUUCUGGGCCAGGAAGCCUAAUUGACGUCUCUGGAAUGGAUUUCCACUCUCGUCUCACCUAACCCCUCCGGUUUGUGGUUGAUUCGUCACUGGAGUGGGAUAGAAGGAAAGAGGGAGAGGCAAUCAGAGCUCCUGGAGUUCUUCUGAAGCCAAGCUGUCUUAGAUGCGGGAGACCGUGGGCACCAGACAGCUGUGUGAGGAGCGAUGGUCCUGAGAGACUGGGGAGAGAGACUCCAGGGCAGGAAGGACACAGAGACAACCAUGGUCUCUGAAUUAUUCAGGAGAAGCCAGCUGCAACCAGACAGCCCCAAACUUUUAACAUCACAAUCACAUUCCUGGGAGAGGAUGACUCCUAGCCAGGACUCCGCCAUUAGCAGGAAAGCAAUGGAGGUUCAAGCAGCAGAGCGCCCUGAGCUGGCUGAAGUUCCUAAAGGGCUGCCCUGGCUCCUGUGCAGAGGAUGGAGUGUGAGGGGAGAGAGAGGAAGUAGACUAACAGAAAAAGGAUGCUGGCUUGGACCUGGAGGCGGCAGUAGAAAUGCCCGUUUAAAGUUGGAGUAUUAAUGUGAACAGACCCGGGAUGGAAUUUGGAUUCCUCAUGCUUGUGACCAGAACUGGAAGGCCGGGAUGUGCCCCUGCUUUGGAGAGUGACAGAGUGGAUGUUCAGGUCAUCUGUUCCUGGCAGAAGCUUCUCCAGACUCAAGCUCGUGGCAGGGACUGGCCUCCCUCGCAGCUCUCUUGCUCUGGCAACAUCAAGAUGCCCACAGCUGGUCUUUUGUGAACCACACCGCUCAGUGAGCCUUGGCUGAUCCAAAAACCUGGUGUCAUUCGUUGACACUGAGGUCCUGAGCCCUGGUGUCUGGGCACACCUUCUCUGCCCUGCUCGCUCCCCACCUCGAGUGAGCUUUAAGAAAGAUUCUCGGGGGCAGACUGCCUCCGGCAAUGUGGUGAAGCUCUUCCCUUUCCAUCAGACCCUUCCUAGCACAGGGAAAAACUCAGCUCCCUCAAGGAGGACUGGAAAUGUCACCUAAAUUGACAGCCCCAUGCAGACAUGUAAGGUUUACGUGGUAGUCACUUUGAGUUUGUAAAAGCAAGCAUUCCUCUGCUGGGAGGAGGAAGUGGGAAGCCCGGCUGCACCUUCUCCCUGAGAUGAAUGACUGGGAGAUGUCGCAACAAACCUCAGCCCCUUCUGGGAAAGGGCGCGCUGUUUGUCUUCAGCGCCGCCAGCCCAGGGGGUGGUGGGGAUACGGAGGGAGCUCCACGCCCUUUCCGCAGAGCUCCUGUCAGGUUCCAGCCUGCAGGGCCAGAGUAGGCUGCUGGACAGAAAGAAAUGUGACUUUUCAGCAUGGGCUUCUGGCCAGCAGGGUCACCUUGCACAUCCUUUGAGGCUUGGUUCUUUGGUCUUUGCAGCUGAGCCAAAUGGCAGUGCCAGGCAGAAGGCGCUGCCCUCUGGUGUGUGGAUGCUCCUGUCAGUCAAGGCCAAAGAGACUCCAGCUGCAGUUUCUGAUGAAAGGCGCCUUGCAGCCCUGGCGCUUGGCAUUCUGCAUGGGGCUCCAGUGUGACUGGGAGGGGCCUCCCUCUGCAGCUGGAGCAAAGUCUCACUCCGAACGAGAUCUAUGGGGGCUGGGGGUGGAGAUGAGCAUGACAAAAGAAGGAAAUCACAGUUGUGUGUAUUCUGUCCCCACUCGGAAACGGGUGACGCAUCGAUAGGACACUUUCCUGCAAUUCCCUCUUCUCACUCACAAAGAUUUGAAUGACUGAACAACAACAACAAAAAGCAUAGAAGACAGAAAAGAAAAGGGAAUAAAGGACAACAGUACUUUUGGCCAUUCUCCUCUUUGGGAGAUUUCAGAACCAGACAGGAGUGGAUCCAAAUUCCUCCUGAGAACCGUGGCAGCUCCAUGAUUUGGCUAACUCACAAAACCUCCUUAAGGCUCAGGGCUCGAAGUAAAGGGCUUUGGGGAUGAAAAGUUACAAGAUAGAAGGCUUCUGGAUUCCUGGGUCAUCCUUUGGAGGAGAGCUGCUCAGGAGAGUCACCCGACGUAUCCAGCUGUGAUGGGAAACCAACUUUGUGUGCUACACCACUGAGUGUUUGAGCUUUGUUUGUUAUCUUAGCUUAUCCUGUAUUAACACGUUUACACUUAGUGUCCAGAAAGGGCUAAAAUUCCAUCACCCCAGGGUUUAGAAAGGAUCAUCUAUAUAUUACCUAUCAAAAAAUCUCUACCAGGGGCCGGCCCGGUGGCGCAGCAGUUAAGUUUGCACGUUCCACUUUGGUGGCCUGGGGUUUGCCGGUUCAGAUCCCAGCUACGGACAUGGCACCGCUUGGCAAGCCAUGCUGUAGUAGGCGUCCCACAUAUAAAGUAGAGGAACAUGGGCAUGGAUGUUAGCUCAGGGCCAGUCUUCCUCAGCAUAAAGAGUGGCAGCAGAUGUUAGCUCAAGGCUAAUCUUCCUCAAAAAAAAAAAAAAUCUCCACCACUUAUUUGCUCACACAAAGUUCAUUUUGCCGAUGGUGAUGCAAGGUUAAACGAGGCCAAGAGUUUGGUGAGAUGAAUGCUUUCACGUGUUGCUUACACUGUAAAUUGCUGGAAGGUUUUGGAAGGCAAUAUUUAUCAAUUGUCAUAAAAUAUUUGUACCCUUCAAGCGAGUAGUUCCAUUCCUAGGAAACUAGCUCAAGGAAACUACGAGAAAUGUGUGUAAAAAAUACGUACAAGCCCAUUUAUGGUCAUCGUGGAAACAACAUAACUUUUCAACAACAUCAGGAUGGCGGGAAAUUAUGGUACCUGCAUGAAUGGGAUAUCAUGUGUCAAUUACGUUUGUGUUUAUGAAGACAUCUUAAUGGCAUGGGCAAAUGUUUAUGUUAGAAUGUUAGUGAAUAUCAGGAACUAGAACUACGUAAAACCCUACUUACUCUGUAUAUAUAUUUAUAGGAAGAAAGCUUGGAAGAAAAUGCACCCAAUUGAACAGUUAAUAGUGGGUUUUGUCUUCCUGAUGGAAUUGUAUGGAACUUCUAUUUUCUUCUGUGUACUUUCCUGUAUUUUCCAGUUUUAAAGAUAUAUUAUUUUUUAUAAUCAAGAAAAAAUCACAAAAAGCUUUAUUUAAAAAUGUUAUGCCAUGAGUCAGCCCUGAUGGCCUAGCAGUUAAAAUUCGGCACGCUCCACUUCGGUGGCCCGGGUUUGGUUCCCAGUCACAGAACCAGACCACCCGUCUGUCAGUUGCCACGCUGUGGCGGCAGCUCACACAGAAGAACUAGAAGGACUUACAACUAGGGUAUACAACUAUGUACUGGGGCUUUGGGGAGGGAAAAAAAAAGGGAGUAAUACUGGGAAUAGAUGUUCACUCAGGGUGAAUCUUUCCCAGCAAAAAAAAAGAAAAAAAAAUUAUGCCAGAGUGUCCCCAACAGGUUGAGGCUGCCAUUGGGCUUCUCAAAGGUGUGGUUGAACUUCCUGAGAUAUAAUCAGGGGAUAGUCAUUACCCAAGCCUCUGAAUGUAGCCCUUCUCUGACGGCCACUGAACGGUUCAUCAGAAAAGCCUCAGAUCUGCUACGGCUGUGGAGUGUCUGCGCAUGUAACAGGGGCAGUAAUCAGAGCAAAUGACUUCUGCAAGUUGGGGAGAAGUUUGCAAGUGAUGCUCAGCCCCACCUGACCUCUGACCUCUGCUGUGAAAAUGAAGAUAGAGGAAGAGGAAGGAGCACUCAGGGAAAAGUGGGGGGGGGGUGCGCGGUGGAGUGGAGAGCAAGAGUAGAGAGAGGAAGCAGAAGAGAGAGAAAGAACGUGAAGGCAGCAGAUCUUGGGGCAGAAAAAGGUACUUAGCUCCUAGCAUUGGAGAGAGAUGUCAGCAGGGAAUUUGCAACAGAAUAAGCAGAGUUAGCGAAUUAGAGGUAGAAGCAGCUUGACUAAUUGCAAGUGGAGAGACUGAGAACUUUCUGUAAUUAUUACCGAAGUCCUGAUAUCUAUCUAGACUAUGCAUUCUGCUGUAAGGGACCAGGUUAGCAUUACCAAACAAUGAUAAUAAUAAUAAAAAGAGAUGAGCAUCCAAAUAUGACCAACAUGAAGAUAUUUCCCUUACUCUAAAAAUGAAGAAUUGGCUGUUAGUAUCACAUCAGCGUUUUAUUGUUUUUAUUACUUGUUUUAAUGUUCCCCUGUGGCUCCAGAGAUGCAAAUGGGAAUGUUCGAUAGAGAGAAAAUUGAGUGUGGGUCUUCUCUAUAAUCAACGUGCUUAGUACAGCACAGUGACUUGGAGAAGGAGCGGGUGAAACACAUGGCGUCGACCGCUUCGUCUAUGACUCAGUUCAUUAAUUUAUUUACUCAUUCACUCAGCCCAAGCGCACUGAGAAGCAACUGAAAUGCACGAGGCACUGGAGACACAGACAUGAAUCAGUUCCCUGUUUUCAAAGAGCCCAGGGUCUAAUAAGAAAGACAACCAUGCAAAUAAACCGACUAUUACACAGCAUGAGAAGUGCUGUAACUAGAUGCUUUCUGAUAAUGCAGAGGCUGGACAGGAAUAGAAUCCUAUAUUUGCCAGACCCCGGUACAGCUGGGGUUCUGCAUGAGAUUUGGGCUCUGCCAGUCAGAUGUAUCCACGUGAGAUUCAACAGGUGGAAGUGAAACAUGAUGAGGUGGAAGCCACGCUUCUGCUGCUUCUAGUUCUGCUGGCAAGAUACUCGACAUUCGAGAACAGCACGCUCGGAAAUGCUAAUCACCUAGGAAGUGUGCCCUGUGCAUUUUCUGCAUUUUCAGUAAAGGAAAAGAGCUUGAAAUUUUGAGGAGGUUCGUCUCUUCCCCCAGCCGCAUGCCUCACCUGUCUUCCCGGAACAGAAGGAACAGAACAGUUGGAGAGACAGAGGACCAUUUCUUCCUUCAAGGGGAGCCCCUCUUGGAUCCCAGGGCAGCUGGCUGAGGCAGAGGUGACAGGCGAGAGCAGGUGCCCCUGCCUGAGGACCCAGAGCACCAUCCUGCAUGGCUUUAGGUACAGAUUCAUUUAUAAAGAAGUAGACAUUACUAACAGCUCCCCACCGAGGUCAAGAACAGACAUCAUUCUCAACCACAGUCUGUUCUUUUUCGAAGGAAACCAGGCAAGCUCUGAGCACUUGGAGUCAGGCUGUGCAGGAAAUGAUGGUGACCUUGGCUGAGCAGUCAAACAGAGGGCAGAGGAGAUGUUAAUGAUUCACAGCCAGGAGGCCUGGGGAUUCCUUCCACACCAACUCACUGCAGAUCCCAGAAGGAACUUUGAAGAUGAAGAUGCUCUGUGCAAGACGAUCCCAGGAGGAAGAUCUGGGCAAACAAGUCUUGAUUCAAGUUUUCUCACUCUUUAUCUCUACCACACUGCCCCUUCCAGAUCCUCCUCUCCCACACCCACACAGUUGUCACAGACUGUGAACAAAUCUCUUUGCCUUCCGCCAUCUUCCCUUCCUUCAACAAGGAUGUAUUGAGUACCUUCCUGGCACCAGGAACUAGGGAAACAGCGGUGAACAGAACAGAUGAAAAUCUCUGCCUUGGUGGAGCUUGCCUUCUGGAAGGAGGAUGCAGACACACAUCUAGCAUGUCAGACAGCGAUAAGCCAUGGAGAGAAGGGGACAGGAAAUACUGCUUAUGAUGAGAGGGGAGGGGAUUGUAAUUUUAAAGACAAGCCUCACUGAAGACCUUGCAUUGGAAAUUUUUAUUAAGCUUCUUCUCUAUGCCAGACAUCAUGCUAGCCACUGUGUAUACAUUGGGCAUAAAUUCCAAAUAAAAGCAUGAGAUUCCUGCCCUUGGAAAGCUUACAGUCUAGAUCCUUGAAUUCUCAAUAUGACUCCCUUGGUGAUCUUCCCACAACACAGGGACCAUCGUAUCCCCACCCUGCUUGGCACCCUUCAAUGACAUUUCAAUGCCUCGAGGAUCAAAUCCUGGCUCCCGAGCAGGUUUAAGGCCUUCAGUCCCUGUCCCACCAC
rnacentral:lncRNA from 1 species